rnacentral:tRNA from 6 species
GCGGAAGUGGCGUAACGGUAGCCGCGCCAGACUGAGUAUCUGGUGAUCUAAAGGGUCGUGGAGGUUCGAGUCCUCUCUUCCGCA